CACGCCUCAAGAAGUUGUGCUUAGUCUUCCAAUUGUUUGGAAAUCAUUUUGGAGAAAGGAAAGAAGAGAAAAAAAGCUGUUGGGAGAUUACAAAGACCAUCAUAAGUUCUUUGGCAUCUGGCAGUCCAAAGCAAGUCCGACUACAUGAGAAGAUGAGAACCUGUGGAUUGCUUCCAGGCAAAUAUGGUUUGACCAGCCAAGACCCCCUGAAAAGUCUCCAAUGACACCAUGGCACAGAUGAUCCAACAUCCAAAAUCAACUUCAAGCCAACUGGCUCAGAGAAUACAGCCUCACAGACUACUCCAGUCUGAGUGGCUGCGGGACCAUGAGGCUGCGGGAGCUGAGUGGGACUGGGAAAACUUCAGCUACACUCCACAGUAUUCCAUGUGUAUACUAUGCUUUGUAUACUCAUCUGUUGUCAGGCACUUAGAAAACAAUGACCAAAA